rnacentral:rRNA from 1 species
CAGUCGCCGCGGGAAAACGGAGGGGGCUAGCGUUGUUCGGAAUUACUGGGCGUAAAGGGCGCGUAGGCGGCCAUUCAAGUUAGAUGUGAAAGCCCUGGGCUCAACCUAGGAAUUGCAUUUGAUACUGUUUGGCUUGAGUUCGGGAGAGGUGAGUGGAAUUCCCAGUGUAGAGGUGAAAUUCGUAGAUAUUGGGAAGGACACCAGUGGCGAAGGCGGCUCACUGGACCGACACUGACGCUGAGGCGCGAAAGCGUGGGGAGCAAACAGGAUUAGAUACCCGCGUAGUCCCUGUCUCUUAUAC